AGAACGAACGCUGGCGGCAUGCCUAACACAUGCAAGUCGAACGCUUCCGGGGCUUCGGUCGCGGAGGAGUGGCGCACGGGUGAGUAGCGCGUGGGAACCUGCCCUGUUGUGGGGGAUAACCGAGGGAAACUUCGGCUAAUACCGCAUACGCCCCGGGACUUGGUCUUCGGAUUAGGUCUGGGGGGAAAGAUUGAUCGCAGCAGGAGGGGCCCGCGUCGGAUUAGCUGGUUGGUGGGGUAACGGCUCACCAAGGCGAUGAUCCGUAGCUGGUCUGAGAGGAUGAUCAGCCACACUGGGACUGAGACACGGCCCAGACUCCUACGGGAGGCAGCAGUGGGGAAUAUUGGACAAUGGGGGCAACCCUGAUCCAGCAAUGCCGCGUGAGUGAUGAAGGCCUUAGGGUUGUAAAGCUCUUUUGUGCGGGAAGAUAAUGACGGUACCGCAAGAUAAGCCCGGCUAACUCGCGCCAGCAGCCGC
rnacentral:rRNA from 1 species